GGUCCGAUGGUGUAGUUGGUUAUCACUUCUGUCUAACAAGUUUUCGGUUUCGGCAUUCGCCGAUACCAACUGUACCAUCAGUCUUGUUCACAGGCGGUCCUCAGUUCGAACCUGGGUCGGAUCA